GUAGGUGAACCUGCGGAAGGAUCAUUAACAGGUAUCCAAACGUUAAAACCCCCCAUGUGAGCCUUCAACACCAAUGCAUCCUGCACACGUUCACGGGUCAGCCCCUAGUAAAUCAUUGUCUGAAUCAGAUUUUGAGUUAGGGGCCUCCCUUCAGAGGUGCGUUCGAGCGGUUUAGCCUUAGAUACGUCCGGGCGCUCCCAAAUGACUCCACUGUUCUGAAAGUGUUCAUUCGGGUUGCGUAAGAGUUGGCGCGUAAACGAUCGGUGGGACCACACAGCCCAGCGUCCGGGGCCUCUCCGCGGUUACAAUUAUUUCAAUGACCAGAGAGACGGCCGGCGCCGAAAGGUUGUAGGCAUUUAAAAAACGAACAACUGUUAACAAUGGAUAUCUUGGCUCUC
rnacentral:misc_RNA from 1 species